AAUGUCUGGUCACUGUGGAGUUGUGGAUUAAGUGUAAGGCUGUGCCUACAUGAAUGUGGCAUCUUGCGUGUUACCGUGGCGCUCCUGUCACCUAUGUGGUUGUGAUUUCAGAAUUUCGGUUCCUAGGUGCAAUCUCUGAGGCGAGGUCUUAGACACUCAAAUUGGUUAGGAUGCCCGUUCUUCCCUAAUCUCUUCAUUCCCUACGCAGGAUGGAUAGUGAGGAUGAGACUGGUAAUGAUCUCUGGCCUGACCAAAAAAAAGAACUGAAGGGUCACAAUUAUUUUUUUUUCUAUUCCCAAUUUUAGCCAUUGCCAGGGGUACUGCCGCCCCCAACAUAUUGCAUGUCCUCAAGCCUUACCUUCUUUCAAGUUGCAGUAAAACCACCUGACCUGGGUGAGCUCCACAAAGGCCGAGAUAAAACUGCUGCCUCAGAAUAGCCUUGAGCCUGAAACAACAUUCCGUUCCCUGCCACACCCUGGACUCCAGAACUAACCCUCAUUUUACGAAUUCCUUCUUUAUCAUUCCCUGAACAUCUGCUCCUGGGUUUAUGCUUCAAAGGGAGACUGUUCAUGCCCUUUCAAAGGUUGUAGCUGUCUGGGCCGAGACCCUAACCAGUUAGAAGUAUUUUCCCACGGGGAAUAAAAUUUGCUUUUGCUUUAUUUCUGA